AUUGAACGCUGGCGGCAUGCUUUACACAUGCAAGUCGAACGGUAACAGGGUGCUUGCACCGCUGACGAGUGGCGAACGGGUGAGUAAUGCGUCGGAACGUGCCGAGUAGUGGGGGAUAACGCAGCGAAAGUUGUGCUAAUACCGCAUACGUACUGAGGUAGAAAGUGGGGGACCUUCGGGCCUCACGCUAUUCGAGCGGCCGACGUCUGAUUAGCUGGUAGGUGAGGUAAAGGCUCACCUAGGCGACGAUCAGGAGCGGGUCUGAGAGGAUGGUCCGCCACAAUGGGCCUGAGACACGGCCCAGACGCCUACGGGAGGCAGCAGUGGGGAAUUUUGGACAAUGGGCGAAAGCCUGAGCCAGCCAUGCCGCGUGUCUGAAGAAGGCCUUCGGGUUGUAAAGGACUUUUGUCAGGGAGGAAAUCCCUAGUGCUAAUAACACUGGGGGAUGACAGUACCUGAAGAAUAAGCACCGGCUAACUACGUGCCAGCAGCCGCGGUAAGAC
rnacentral:rRNA from 1 species